rnacentral:rRNA from 1 species
UACGUAGGGUGCAAGCGUUAAUCGGAAUUACUGGGCGUAAAGCGUGCGCAGGCGGUUGUGCAAGACAGAUGUGAAAUCCCCGGGCUCAACCUGGGAAUUGCAUUUGUGACUGCACGGCUAGAGUGUGUCAGAGGGGGGUAGAAUUCCACGUGUAGCAGUGAAAUGCGUAGAGAUGUGGAGGAAUACCGAUGGCGAAGGCAGCCCCCUGGGAUAACACUGACGCUCAUGCACGAAAGCGUGGGGAGCAAAACAGG